rnacentral:lncRNA from 1 species
GCAGACCUAUUUACAGCUAUUUUUACCAUUGUUGAACACAUUUUUGUUGCCACUUCUAAAUAUUACAAUAGACGCCUUUGCUGUUGUUUUGCGUUGUAGUUGAAGCCACUUUUUGCUGCUAUUUUUGGAUGCGAUAAAAGUUAUCCUGUUACUAUUUUGGGAUGCGGUUGAAGGCAUUUUGGUGCUGUUUUUGGAUGUUGCUAAAGCCAUUUUUGCUGUUGUGAUUAGGUAAGUUUACUUGAUUACUAUCUGUCUACAGUACUACCCUAGCUCUCAUAUUACUCAAUUAACUCAUUUUCCAAGUACCACAUAUUUUUUUUUCAAGUGUUAGAUUUACUAUCGUGUCUCCAUAAGAACAUAAUAACUUAGUCUUUAAUUUUAAUCUUAGAACUGCAUCAGGCCAUUCCAUCUUUUUAGAGGCAAAGAUUGACUUAUUAGUAAUGGAGUAAGCAUUCUUCAUAUGUAUUUAUUGAACAUUUGAAUUUAUGGAAUGACUUAAAGUUAUCAUUUAAUUAAUAGAUAAAGCUGUACUUGUCACUUUGAAAGUUGUCUUGCAGCUGACUCCUUUGUUUGUUGAUUUGUUUGGCUUUUUUGGUAUUGUCAAUAUUGUUGUCCUCUUUAACUUUUGUUGAUUAAAGUUCUCAGCUCAUUACAUGAAAUUUCUUUUUCAAACAGGCACAAUUACAACUAUAUGUGCAAAGAUAGACAAUAUUUUAAAAGGUAUGUAAUUCACAGCUAAAAUGUGCAAACAUCUAUUACACUUCCGUUUAUCUGAAUAGAUAGUUGUUACUAAAGAAGUUUUUUUAAAGAUAUGUGGAAAGAUUAACCCAUACUGCCAUUAUCUCUUCUUUAAAGAUGAGAGGGAAGCUUAAUAACACAUACUACGAUUAUCCUAUAUUUACAUACCUAUUAUUACUACCAAACAUGGGAACAUAUUACUCCACCAACAUAGAAACUGAAAUCCAGGACGAUGAAGAGGGAAUAUCUGAAAUAUUGUAAAAAUAAUUCUCAUGGUUGUUGUAAUUGAACAUUUGUGAUUGAAACAAUGUUGAAAAUAAGGUAUUGAAGGGCAACUGUGUUUGAAAGUUUUAAAAGGAUUUAUUGAUUUUCACUGAAAAUUUUAAUAAGGGACUAGAUUAUGUCAGCUUUCGGUGUUGAAGUUUGUUGCAUUUUUAUAUUGUCUUCCAAGUGUUUACAUCUGGUAGAGAGACCAUUUCCAGAUUUUUAAAAAAAAAAAAUCAAUUGCAUUGCUAUUGCCCUUAAACAUAAUACAUUAUGCUAUAUGGGUACUGAAACAUGAUCUUUUUCCUGUGAUUUUGCAGAUGUCAAUGCAAAUACUUUUGUUGCACUGCAAAGGAGAAGAACAAUUAUAGUAUGGAGAAAAAAUCACCUUUUAUGAAUAUACGUUGUACUUUCAUGGAUGUAAAAAUUGAGAUACUUUCGUAGUAAAAUGCAUCUCAUUUUGUCAAAUAUGUAAAUAAAUAUAUGUAUAUAUGUGUAUUCUCAUUGAUAUGAAUAUUGUGCUACUUUCCAAUGAUGCC